rnacentral:rRNA from 1 species
CCUACGUGUGGCAGCAGUGGGGAAUAUUGGGCAAUGGGCGCAAGCCUGACCCAGCAACGCCGCGUGAGGGAAGAAUGCCCUCGGGUUGUAAACUUCUUUUAUUCGGGACGAAACCAAUGACUGUACCGACUGAAUAAGCUACGGCUAACUACGAGCCAGCAGCCGCUGUAAUACGGAGGGGGCAAGCGUGAUCCGGAUUUACUGGGUGUAAAGUGCUUUUAGGCGGGAGAGCAAGUCAGACGUGAAGUUCAGGGGCUCAACCCUGGAACUGCGUUUGACACUGGUAGUCUUGAGUGAUGGAGAGGCAGGCGGAAUUCGGGGUGUAGCGGUGAAAUGCGUAGAUAUACGGAGGAACACCAGUGGCGAAGGCGGCCUGCUGGACAUUAACUGACGCUGAGGCGCGAAAGCGUGGGUAGCAAACAGGAUUAGAUACCCGAGUAGUC